AUUGAACGCUGGCGGCAGGCCUAACACAUGCAAGUCGAACGAGUCGCGGACGUGUGAAUAAUGUCUGGGAAAGUGCCUUAUGGAGGGGUAAAACCACGGGAAACGGUAGCUAAUACCGCAAACCAUCAUAUGUGCCCAGAUGGGAUUCGCUUGGUGGUGGGGUAACGGCUCACAAAGGCGACGAUCCCUAGCUGGUCUGAGAGGAUGACCAGCCACACUGGAACUGAGACACGGUCCAGACUCCUACGGGAGGCAGCAGUGGGGAAUAUUGCACAAUGGGCGCAAGCCUGAUGCAGCCAUGCCGCGUGUAUGAAGAAGGCCUUCGGGUUGUAAAGUACUUUCAGCGGGGAGGCGUUACCCGCAGAAGAAGCACCGGCUAACUCCGUGCCAGCAGCCGCGGUAAUUC
rnacentral:rRNA from 1 species